AGUGGAACAAGGCUCUGCUGCUUCCAGUGUUUGAUGCCUAUUUCAUCUGAGGCAGAUGCUUGGAGCCUGUUAACCUCUCACAUUAGGUCAUCCUGCAAUAACAGUUGAGCUGAGGCUACCUCUGUGAGGUUGUCUGACCCUGCAGCUGUUUCAUAAGCAGUGGGGUGGAAGAAGGAAUAGAGGAUGGUAACUUUUUUGUUGUUGUUGCUACUUGGAGGCAAGAAUCUCUGCACAUAUGAGCUCCCAGCAAAAAGAAGCAAAGAAUUCAGUUUAUUUCUGCACAGGUAUUUACAAAAAUUUCAGUAUAUUUUUAGCUGUUAUCAUGACCAAACUAGUUAAAACAAUAUUUUUUUACUUACAGUGACUCUUAUGACAUUUUUGCUUGCCAUUGCAUUAUAUUGUUGCAAGAACUAACCUUGUAAAAGGAUCCUUUUUGCUAGAAUAAAAAAAAGGACUGCAGAAGAAACGAGUGAUUGUGAAAUACAAGUUAACUUCUUGAUCCCUUGGGGGAACUUUGAUUAGAGUAGGCUUGCAAAUUAUUGUUUUCAGAAGCUCAAGGCUGUUUGGCAGAAACCAGAGCAUAAUAAUGAAGCACUACCAACUGUAGAAGACAGGCUGCCCUCCCCUUCCACCCAACCUACUAAAUUUCACUCACCUCACGAAUCUUAGUUGCUACAGUUGCUACAGUUGCUAUCAUAUGAAGUGUUAAGUUUAUUUUACUUGUUCCCCAGAGAAUAUCAAUAUGAAAACUUACUAUUUUAUCACCAGAUCUUGAAACCUCCUGAUAUUUCUGCUUAAAAGCAAACUAAGACAGUAAGGUGAAGUUUGAAAGAGAAAACACACACAAAGAGGUAUGCAAUGUCUUUCUCCAUAAGGGGAAGAAAACUUUUGAACAUCACAGAAGUGGUUUUAAAGAUCAAAUUAAAAUUAGUCAACAGCAUCACUUGUGGGAAAAAAACAAUUUUAAUGAAAGGUAAUUUUUGAUGCCUUAUCUUUUUAUAAAUAUGCUUUAACAAUAGCUUCUGUCUACACACAUGUAUAUUUUCAAACACCUGAUGCCUCAGAAUCUUUGGAAAUCCUUAUGAAUUAGUUUUGAAGACCCCAUGUAGACAAAUGUGAUUAAAAUGUGGAUUUUGUUCUUUUAUUGAGACUUCGUUCACUUGCUCUGUGGUAAAUUUACUCUGCAGCCUCACGCAACUGAAAACAAUUAUUGGUUUCAUCUGUGCAGAGAAUCACUGGAAGCAGUCUCAUCUAUUCCAUUACUGGCAUAAAGUACUUUUGUACUUAUACUUAUGUCACUCCUGACAGAUGCCUGUCGAUCCUGAUCUGAAAGGCCUUUAGCAAUGAAGAUUUUACACCCACUCUAUCCCACUCUUCUGCUGUUCUUAGCAGUUGAAAUAUUUCCUGAAUAUAUAAUCAGAAUCUCCUCUGCAAAGUCCAUUACUUCUUGCUCUAUUUGGACAAAGGAAGAUACAGAUUUUGCUUACUCUGACUUCAGUGAAGCUUAUGAAUGGAAAAAAAGAAUUACAAAAUUACUUAAAGAAAGUUAUGAAAUAAAUUAAACUCAGCAGAAGGUGGUGAAAAGUGCCACAAUCAUAAGCACCGUGAAGAUUGGAUGGGAUCAGUGGAAGUGGCACUCUAACAGUCAUGAAGAAAAAUGGAGGAUGAUGAGAUGACUGUGACACAACAAUUACAGGAUACUGUGAAAAGAGAUAAACAUCACUCUGGAAAGUAUAAACGGACAGGCUAUAAACAGGAAAAUAUAAACGUAAAGGCUGGAGUACCGUAUCCUAUUAGGAAAGCUUCAUUUUCCAGAAAGAUGUAAAGCAAUUAAUGGAAUCUUAGAUGACAAAAACGGAAAGAAGCUAAAGUGUUGUAUAUGUCAUCUGAAAAGGCUGAACAAGCUGGGACUUCCUAGCUUAAAGAAAGUUUAAAAGGAAGAUGACAACCUUCAUCUAAUAGGUGAAACAGUUAGAAGAAAAAAAAAUAUAUGACCAUUUGAAGAGCUUGCAGUUGUUAUCUUAGCUUUUUCUAGCAUAUUUUGCAUCAGGCUGCAAUCAUAAAAGUUUUCUAGGAGCUGAUCACGUGUCAGGUGCGUAAGGACAAAGUUUGAAGCCCAUGCUGGUCAUGUGCAUUGACCUGCUUUAAGGGUGUCCUCAGAGUUGGCAAGACUUGGGUGAGCCUAUCUUCACUUUAGCAAGUCCAUCUUCACUUGGACAUCCACCAACUUGGUCCUCAGGCAUUUCCCACAGCGUCCUUUGAAUUCUGAAACCAGGAUUUUUAAGUAGAUUUUUGUCAGUGGCAUUGAGUUGUUGACUGGGUCAUACUGACAUGAAUUACUCCAUUAUUUGUUGACUUCUUGUGUACAUAGUUUCUUUCUCUCAGAAACUGUGACCCUGGCCUCACUAAGCUGAACAGCUUUUAAUAACCCUUAAGACUAAACAGAGUGCUGGGGCAAAGCUUCAUCAGCUUCAACACAAACAAGUGAAUAACAUGUGCAUUCUCACUGCAUUAUUAUGAAAACCAGAGUUGACCGAAUACAUGCUUAUGAUUGCAACACUAGAAGUAACUAUGUAAGUGUAUAAAGACAAAUUAAAAUCAAUUUGUUUGGAAUUGAUAUUGAUAAAUUCUUUGAGAUUUUCUACAAUGUCAAAUUGUGAUGAGAUUUAUACCAUCUGCAUUGCAUGCUCUCAGUAAAAUGGCUUAUAUGUGGCACCUGGGAUAUGAUAUUCUUUCAUUCUUUGUGUGCAUGGAAUGUUGUUGUGGUUUAGGAAUGGCAUGGGGUGACAUAGAAUAACCUCCAGGUCCUGGCUAUGCCCCUCCUGGCUACUGCAAAAAUUAACCCUGUCUUGGCCAGAACCAGGGCACAUGUUAUAGGAGAAAAAGGCCCUUUAUAUCACUUAGAAAUUUAAUUUUAUAAUUAGCUUAUUCCUUAUAUUAUUUCACUGUAUGUAGAGCAGCUGCAACUGAAAUGAGGAAAAAAAUCAUUAACUUGGUAGAAGAAACAUUAUGAAGAUGCAUUAAGGAUUAAUUUCAGCCAUUAAUUUUCAUACCAUUAUCAUAAUCAAUGGUGGCUAACUAAAGAUUUUGCUAAUUGAAGAUAAAUAUUAUAAUAACAAAAUGUACAUGUUGGACCUCCUUCAUUUCAAAGCAGUUAUAUAAUUCUCAACCAGUAAAAUUUGUCUCCUUUAUAUAAUUCCCAGAAGAGUAAGCUACUAAAUAAGGAUACUAAAAAGGCCAGAGAUUUUAAAGAAACCUUAGAUAACAGAACUGGAAGGGAUCUAGAGAGCUCAUACUAUUCAUCUCCAUGUGCUUAUUUAAUAUCAUUGCUGUAAGUAAUCCUGAGAAAUUAAGAGGAGUAGCUUAUCUGAAUAAAUAAAAGGAUACAUGUCUCUAGGUCUGAGAGUAUAUUUUUUAAUAACUAAACUAAUUUUUAAUUACUAAACUAAUUUUUAAUUUUUCCUUGGUAGAUCAAGUUGUUGAUUGAAGGAACUCUGAAUUGGGUAACCAUUUAAAAGUGAGAAGUUCCACAUAUUUACCCAAAAAAUGGAUAAUAAAAAAUGGGUGGGAAAAAAGGUCUUUCAAGUAGUGCUUUUGUACAUGUAAAUAGUAAGCUUUAAAACAACCACAUGUGUGCAAACAAAUUAAGAGCAGUGUGUUUUUUAGGGCAAGAUUCAUCUGCCUGGAAAUUUGCAAAUACUUCCCAAUUGCUCAGCUGGAUAAUUAUUCCCACAUGUUUAUUGAUGGAUCUAGCUUUUAUGGCAGAGUCAGUCUAAACCAAGUGAGAAUUGCCAUCAUGGAAUCCUUUGAUGUUAUGUUUUCAUUUCAUAAUUUUAGAUUUGAACUAUCAUUAAUACAAGUGUUAUGUAAAAAACUAUAUAUUUUUAGAAUGCUUUCAGUUAUAGGCAUGACAUUUUUCUUACUCGAAUGCAUGAAAUAGAGUAUAUAGUUCAUAUCUACUGUUUCUAUUCUAUGGCAUGUUUCAUAUCAGGGCUAGAUAAUUCCUCCAGAUAUUCUGGUCAACAAUAAUUUACAAAAGCAAGUCUACUAAAAGCAGUAAAAGCUUUUGCAAAACUUUCUUAGGGGUCUUGUAAACCAUGUGUCAGCCUGUGCAAAGAUGGUGUGGUACCGGGUCUGCAACACUCUCUAGGUUGCCCUAACAUUUAAGAAAACAUCUGACAAAUAAUCAGUCAAAAUAAACCUGUUAACACUUCUAAACCUCUAGAAUUCUAGGUUCUUCUGAUGGCACGGACCAUCACAGGAGACUGGCAUUAUAACUUUCAGAAGGAGACUGUCCAGAAUCAGCAUUUUCCAGGUACAUUUGGGUUAGGAUUUUCAGGAUUUGCUUGAUGUACAAAUUUCUUCCCCCUUCCGAACUGCAUAAAACCAUUUCAUUUCAACCUUGAAACUUAGGAUCAUUUUCUUCUGUGAGGAUAUACUCUUUCCUUUCCAUCAAUUGAUCCUUAACUGACUCAACCUAUAAUUCUUGAAACCUCUUUGGCAGCUUGCACUACCUGAUCCAACUGGUCUUCCAGCCUGCUUUUAGAGGUAAAUAUACAAGAGUUCAAGCAAAAAGGAGAUUGUUAUACAUGAUCAUGUUCAAUCAAAAGAGUCAAACAAUUCACAAAAGUUAUUGAUUGGAAAAAACCUCCAUACCCUAACCCUUGCAGGUAAAGAGUUCCACCAAUUUACAAGUCCUUAGUCAUACAGGUCACAUAAGUUAAAAAAAUGUGACAUUCAUACCUGAGAUAAUAGAUUGUUUAAAAAUCUGUAUUAUUUAUAUAGCAAUACUAUGAGAAAUUAGUUUUUAACCAUUUGGUAGGAUUCAAUCACUGCAGUCAUGGACUAGAGUCAUGGCCAUUUAAAUAUGAUAUAUAUUAUUUUACUUUCUCUGUGUCCAAAGGAAUAAGAUAACAUUUCCUAAUUGUCAUAAAAUACACCACCAGAAAGCUAUAAUGUCAUCAUAUAUAAUACUUUGGAUAUAGUUAGACACAAGUAGGGGAAAAAAAUUAGCAUGUGGGAGGAGGGAUUAAUCAACAAACACAUAUGAAUUUGUAAGAAAAAAAUACCAAAUUUAUCCUAUGGCCAAAUUGUAAACAACUGGAAUUGCUAGAGCAAUUCAGAAAUUAUAAAAUAUUAGAAAGUAGAAGGACAUAGUUAUCUCCCAGUGGGAGUUUUCUUUGCAGUGAAAUGAUACUUCUGAUACUAUUAAUGCCUUUAAUGGCCUACCUUGUACCUUAAGAAAUUAAGAAGCUAGUCCAUACAGCUUGACUUGACAAAAGACACAAAGCCUCCAAAAAUUUUACUAAUUUACUAUUUUAUGAGAAUGCCUUCCCUAAUGUUUUUCGUUCAAUCUCUGAAAAUUUUUCUAUAGUCCUGUGCUUCUUUGCCUUCCUUUUCUCUUUGUUUUUUGUCUGUUUGUUUUUUCCAUUCCAAAGAUUAAAUAUGUCAUCUUGGGUUCCCAGAGGGAUUUUAGGCAUUGCCAUAUUCAUCAGUGCAAUGUCUAAGUCCCAGGCAGUCUGCUACCAAAAUGGGAUUUCCAACCUCCCAGUAGGUUCUAAAGCUUCCCUGAAUGACGUAUGAGGAGAGCUUGGUCUUGUUGUCACAAAAUGCUGCAAACUGACUUGGAAAUGGCAAACUUGCUGGCAUAAAAUGAGGAAGCAUAUGCCAUAUGAGGAAAGGCUAAGGGAAUGGGGCUUGUUCAGCCUGGAGAAGAGAGAGCUUUGGGGGAACCUAACAGUGUGGGGAAGUCAUCAGGAAGAGGGAGCCAAGCUGUUCACAGCGGUGAGAGGAUAAGAAACAACAGACAUAAUUAAGACAUGUUCAAAUUAGAUAUAAGAUAAAAAUUGUUCACUAUGAGGACCGCUUAGCAGUGGAUCUGAUCACCUAAAAAAGUUGUGUGCUGUUGCCAGCCUUGAAAAUUUUCAGGACCAGACUAGAUAAAGCCCUCAGUAAAAGGGUGUGACCUCAUAGCUCACCCUGUUUUGGUGUCAGCAGCUUUUGACCUUGCAGGACUGUGCCCUCUUGAGGUCCUCUCCGACCUGAAUUAUCCUAUUUUCCUAUGGCCAUUUUUAUUUCAAUCUUGAACACAGAAACAGUUUGAAUAUUUAUUGAUCUGUCUAUUAACUGUCUGUAAUUUAAAGGUUAAUAUGUUUUUAACAAGGAAUUAAGGAAAGCAAAAUCCCCAGUUCCAUCCUAGGCAGAUUAAAAUGUAGAUGCAAUAUUGAAAGAUGCUCUGUAUAAAUUGUUACUCAAAAGCAAUGCAGAAUCUGUCAGAGAGUGUGAAGGCUGAGCUCAGCUUUGCCUGUAUUGAUAAUGAAACCUUGGCAUUUAAAAUUCUGGGAAAACUGAGCAGAAGAAUAGAAAGAUAGGAAACGUGGACUUCCAGGUGAUAGAAUUCAUUUUUUUUAGCAAAAUUCCAUAAAAAAUUGGUGCAAAGGGCACAGGAACUUGGGACAGCUAGUAGUUCUUCAAGGAUGUCCCCCUCAAAGAACAACAGGCUAUUCCAUGCACAUGCAGAAGGUCAGCAUGAACAAGGAGCUCCUAACCAAGCUCAGUCUCCAAAAGGAACCCCAUGAGAGGCAGAGGUGGGGACAACUCAGGAGGAAUAUAAAGAUGUUACCUAACCAUGCAGUGUUGGAGUUAGGAAAGCCAAAGCUCACCUGUAGUUGAAAUUAAAAUGGGAUGGAAAGAAUAGCAAUAAGAACUUCUGUAUGUACAACAUAUAAGGACAUACAAAGGGCCAAAAUACCCAAUGCCUUUUUAUUGUCUGUUUUUACUGUCAAUGUCUGCCAUCUGCCUUCCUGGGUCACCGAGCCUACUGGCAGAGUCUCUGGGAAUAUAGCAUUAUUCAUUGUUCAGGAAGUCAAUUAGGAAGCAAUAAAGUCAGUUUUGCCUACACAAAUCCACAGCAUUAGAUGGACUUUACUUGAGGAUGCUGAGGGAGCUGAACAUAGUCAUUGUAAGGCUAUGCUUCAUCAUCCUUGGAAGGUCAUAGCAGAGAAAGGAGGUUCCCCAUGAGCAGAAAAAAGGCAAAUAUCACACCCCUCUUCAGGAAGACCAGGAAGGCAAAGUAAUAGCAGACCUUCAGUCUAGCAUCAGUCCUCAGAAGAUUAUGUAGCAGACCCUCCUGGAAGCCUUAGCCAGGCAUAUGUAUGACAAGAAGGUGAUAGGGAAAAGCCAGCAUAGAUUUAGCAAAGGGAAAUCCUGCCUACCUAUAAUAAUACCAUGCCAGCCUCUGUGGGAAGGGGAUAGCAAGUGCAUGACAUUUACCUUGACUUUGGCAAAACAUUUGACACAGUAUCACAUGGUAUUCUUGUAUUCAAUUUGACAAGCUAUGGACUAGAACAGAUGGGGAUCAACACACUGAAGGACAGGGCUCCCACUCAGACGGUGCUCAAUGAGCUGGACAAAUAAAUUGACAGGAAGGUCAUGAAGUUCAACAAAUACAGAUUUAUGGUCCAAUAUUUUUAUGUGGAGUAACUCUGUACAGCAAUACAGGCUGGGCAUCAACUGGCUAAAAAGCAGCUUUGCAGGAAAGGGAUGAGGAAUUCUGGUGUACAAGAAGGGUGAAAAAUAAACAUGAGUCAGCAACGUGCCCCUACAGCAAGGAUGGACAACAAUACAGCAAGUUGUGUUAGCAGGAGUGUAGCCAGCAGGGCAAGAGCAGUGAUACUUCCCCUCUGGGCUAUUCACAG